AUGCCCAUCCUCCCAGAGGGAUGCGUGGUGUGCCUCAGCGACUUCCACGGCACCGCGCGUGUGCGCCGGCCGCGGCGGUGCCGGCACGUCUUUCACUUUGGCUGCCUCGACCGCUGGGCCGCUCACGGCCACAGAACCUGCCCGCUCUGCCGGGCUCCGUUCCUCCCGCCCUUCCUCCUGCCCAUGCCAGUCCCGACGUCGUGA
rnacentral:rRNA from 1 species